rnacentral:rRNA from 1 species
UGGGGAAUAUUGGACAAUGGACCAAAAGUCUGAUCCAGCAAUUCUGUGUGCACGAUGACGUUUUUCGGAAUGUAAAGUGCUUUCAGUUGGGAAGAAAAAAAUGACGGUACCAACAGAAGAAGUGACGGCUAAAUACGUGCCAGCAGCCGCGGUAAUACGUAUGUCACAAGCGUUAUCCGGAUUUAUUGGGCGUAAAGCGCGUCUAGGUGGUUAUGUAAGUCUGAUGUGAAAAUGCAGGGCUCAACUCUGUAUUGCGUUGGAAACUGCAUGACUAGAGUACUGGAGAGGUAAGCGGAACUACAAGUGUAGAGGUGAAAUUCGUAGAUAUUUGUAGGAAUGCCGAUGGGGAAGCCAGCUUACUGGACAGAUACUGACGCUAAAGCGCGAAAGCGUGGGUAGCCAGGAUUAGAUACCCUGGUAGUCCACGCCGUAAACGAUGAUUACUAGGUGUUGGGGGUCGAACCUCAGCGCCCAAGCUAACGCGAUAAGUAAUCCGCCUGGGGAGUACGUACGCAAGUAU